UGAAACUCUAGAACUUGCUUAAUUUCUUUUCAAAGUCACAAUAACACUUGUGUGCAUGGAAAUUGAGGAUUUUAUCGAUUUUGUUCCCCUUCAUACUUUCCAAUUCCUUUCUCCAUAAUUUUCUUCCAAUAUUUUUAUCUAGCAUUUUAACCCUUGAUCACUUUGCCUUGCCUUCAUUCCAUUAGAAGUUUUGGUUGAAUUCUUGAUGAGUUGGAUUGACUAGAUGAACAAAGAUUGAAGUGUGGGGGAGGUGUUGAGAAGGAGUUUGGAAAAUGUGAAGGAAUGAAUGGUAUUCUUGCAUCAUUCACCUCUACAAAUUUAAAAUCCAAUUACUGAAAAGAUGAAGCAGUGAGGACCAUUGACAUUAAAAGAAGGCUGAUGCUGGAUGAAGAAGCAGAAAUUGAAGUGCAGGGCUGAAAAGUUUGUAUCAGGUUUGUAUCAAAAAUUAGAAUUCAAUAUCCAAACGAGUGGAAGCUUAGUUGGAAAGUGAAGAGAAGAUGCAGAAACUGUGAAGUUGUGGAUUGCCAGAGCUGCUGAAAUGGAAUGUUGGAGAAAAUAGCUGCUAACACAAUUCAUUUUAACACUGCAAGAGGGAGUGGUAAUGACAUUGGUUAGUGAUUUAAAGGGCUGAAUUUUGGUGGAUGAGAAGAGAAAAAGAAAACAGUGAUAGCUCUCGAGUUGUGAAGUGAUAUUCAAUUCAAGAAAUGGAGUAUCAAAUCUGAAAUUGAACAAUGGAAACAAAGAGGAAGAUUGCUGGAAUGACAGGAAUGAAUAUAGUGCAGAAUUCAUGAAGUGCGGAUUUUGCAGGAAUAGGGCAGUUUUGUGCCAAAUUGGGAAAUGGACUGAAGCAUGUAGAGUUACUGAAACCUGUAAACUUCUCAUUCAUGUAUUGUAAAGGGUUCUUAAGAGACAAGAUGAAGGAGAAUUAAAAUUUCUUGUGGCUAAACAUGAUAGAUUGAUACAAAGUUCAGCACUAAGACAAACUGAAAUCAGAGCAUCCUGCUUUGGGGAAACAGAACAGUCUUGUGCCAAGGAGAAAUCUGCUGAUUUGUGCCAAACUUUCUGGUUAUUCAAAUCUGAAAUGAGGGGAAUUUAAGUCAUCUUGAUUCAUCAUUAAAUGAGCUAUCUUCAAAGGCUUAUUAGCUAGGAAAACUUGGAUGGAAUGUAUUGGAAUAGAAUCAGCAAAUUAAAGGACAGAAUUCUGAUUACUGAAACAGAAAUUGCUGAAAACAGAAAUUUAGAGUCAAAUGAAGCUCUGUUGGGUGCAGAAACAACUGGUAGAUAAGUCUUUCCAUGAUUUAUUCGAACUUUAUACUUUAAUAGUAAAGGAUUUGAAUUGUGGAAAUAAGGAAUAAAUUGAAGAGAAGAGAUUGCAGCUGCAAAGGGGAGUCGAAUUGAGAUCUUUGACAGUGGAAUAUAAAAGAACAAUGGAACACAGAAUUCACAAGUUACAGAUUUCUGCAAUCUAUUAUCUGUUCAUCUAGUUUUGAAUAUGUGACUUCAAGAAUUGUUGAAAGCAAGAUGCUGCUGAACUUGAAUCCUUAGGUCUUUAAAUUUGUUUGCUGCAAUUUUAGAAGUAGUUCUUGGAGUUCAAUUCAAGGAUUUGAAAUAUGUUGCUGCUGAAAAAGUUUAAUUACUGAUUUCUCAGCAGUGCCUAAUUCGUGCACCAAUUGAAAUAAUGCUGGAGAAGGAUUCAGAGCCUGGAAGUAUGCAAACUUUAAAUGCUGCUGAGCUAAAUUCUUCAAUUCCAACUCUGAAACUUAAAGCUUUAAUUCUGGGAGUUCUGAUUUCUGGUCUUAAAUUUCAUAUUGUGAGACAAAGAAGAAAUAUGGAAUACAAUCAGAAACAGAUAUUGAUAUGAAUUCUGAAUAGUUUCAUGUUGUUUCUUAUCAGAAUAUGAACUUUAAUUGAGAUAUGAGUUCAUAAGUUUCAGAGCUAGAAUUUAAAUUCAAUAGGAGCUUCAAAAGCCAGAUUUCUGAAGUUGGAAACUAAACUUCAAUUCUAAAUUGCUACUGGAGUUUAAUUAGUGUUCUAUCAAUGCAAUAGAAAUGCAAUUAUCAAUUGAAUUGAAAUAGAGUGUCAGCUGUUUAAGACAUCAGUUCAAAAAAAUAUAAAGUUUCAGAAACAAGAUGCUGAAAUCUGCUGGAAACUGAUAUAAUUCUGCAGUCUGGAAAUUGGUAACUGAAAUUACAUUUAUGGAAAGUCUAAAUCUAAACUGAAUUCUUGUGCUAUUGCAGGGAAAGUGGUUAAAUAUUGCUGCAAACUAAGAGUAAGAGGAUAUAGAAAUUUUAAGAGGAAAGUAUGUAGCUGCAAAUAGAUAUUGAAAUCUGAAUUCUAUAGAAUUUGCAGAAAUCUGAAUGGUUUGGUUACUCGAGUUCCAAAAACCUGCAGCAGGAAGAAAUACACAGAAAAAAAAAUAGAAUAAAAAAUUCUGCGAGUUUCAAGUAUUGGAAACCUAUGAUGAGAUUCCCUUGUCCGAGACGGCCAAGAUUUUAAGUGUGGGGGAGGGACAUCUUCUUCAUGAUGUGAGUUUGUUUCAGCUUCAAGAUUCUGAAAUUGAAGUGUGAAAAAAAAAAAAACAGAAAAGAGAAAAAUGGCAAAUCAAGAGUGUAUCAAGUGUG